GUUGUGGGUUCAUGACUCCUCUUUCCCCCUUUUGCAGCUGCAGUUCCUCAGCCAGGAAUUUUUCAUGUGAUCUCCGGGGAAGCUCCUGCUCACUUUUCAAGAGGCUGGUGGGCAUCACCUUCUGGAGUUGCCCUUAUCCCAACAGAUGUGCUUUCCUGUCCCUCUGUAUGGCUGUGUCUGGACAUUGUGGGCAGCACCCUGCUGCGCUCAGGACAUGGUUCAAGGGCUGAAGUGAGAGGCAAAUGAGAAAAUGAAUUUGGGACACAGUCAGUUCUAUACAGACACUGGAUAUUUCCAGAGGCAUGAGACUCCCAAGGCCUGGGCUCAGUUCAGUUCAGUCGCUCAGACGUGUCCAACUCUGCGACCCCAUGAAUCACAGCACGCCAGGCCUCCCUGUCCAUCACCAACUCCCGGAGUUCACUCAGACUCACGUCCAUCAAGUCUGUGAUGCCAUCCAGCCAUCUCAUCCUCUGUCGUCCCCUUCUUCUCCUGCCCCCAAUCCCUCCCAGCAUCAAAGUCUUUUCCAAUGAGUCAAUUUAUUUAUUUUAAUUGGAGGCUAAUUACUUUACAAUAUUGUAGUGUUUUUGCCACUGACAUGAAUCAGUCAUGGGUAUACAGGUAUUCCCCAUCCUGAACCACCUCCCCACUAGAAGUUGCAUUUUAACUAGACUCCUGGACGAUUCACGUGCAUGUUGAAGUUUGAGAAGCACUGAACUGGCCUCUGACUCCUGGCUGACCCCUCUCACGUGUCCUCCUCCACCCUGAGCCGUGGUGAUCCUCCC
ensembl:lncRNA